rnacentral:rRNA from 1 species
AAUAGAUACCCGGGUAGUCCACGCCGUAAACGAUGAGUGCUAAGUGUUGGGGGGUUUCCGCCCCUCAGUGCUGCAGCUAACGCAUUAAGCACUCCGCCUGGGGAGUACGGUCGCAAGACUGAAACUCAAAGGAAUUGACGGGGGCCCGCACAAGCGGUGGAGCAUGUGGUUUAAUUCGAAGCAACGCGAAGAACCUUACCAGGUCUUGACAUCCCGGUGACCACUAUGGAGACAUAGUUUCCCCUUCGGGGGCAACGGUGACAGGUGGUGCAUGGUUGUCGUCAGCUCGUGCCGUGAGAUGUUGGGUUAAGUCCCGCAACGAGCGCAACCCUUAUUCUUAGUUGCCAUCAUUCAGUUGGGCACUCUAAGGAGACUGCCGGUGAUAAACCGGAGGAAGGUGGGGAUGACGUCAAAUCAUCAUGCCCCUUAUGACCUGGGCUACACACGUGCUACAAUGGACGGUACAAACGGUUGCCAACCCGCGAGGGGAGCUAAUCCGAUAAAACCGUUCUCAGUUCGGAUUGUAGGCUGCAACUCGCCUACA